rnacentral:misc_RNA from 1 species
GAUGAAGAACGUAGCGAAAUGCGAUAAGUAGUGUGAAUUGCAGAAUUCAGUGAAUCAUCGAAUCUUUGAACGCAAAUUGCGCCCCUUGGUAUUCCAUGGGGCAUGCCUGUUCGAGCGUCAUUUGUACCUUCAAGCUUUGCUUGGUGUUGGGUGUUUGUCCUGAGGGACUCGCCUUAAAGUAAUUGGCAGCCAGUGUUUUGGUUUUGAAGCGCAGCACAAGUCGCGAUUCAAAGCUAUACGCCAGCUUCCACAAGCCUUUUUCACUUUUGACCUCGGAUCAGGUAGGGAUACCCGCUGAACUUAAGCAUAUCAAUAAGCGGAGGA